AUUGAACGCUGGCGGCAGGCCUAACACAUGCAAGUCGAGCGACCGGCGGAUGGGUGAGUAAUGUAUGGGGACUGCCCGCUUGAGGGGGAUCACUACAAGCUACGGUGGCUAAUGCCGCAUACUAUCGGAUAACCCCUAUGGGAUUAGCUAGUAGGUGGGGUAAAGGCUCUCCUAGGGGACGAUCGCUAGCUGGUCUGAGAGGAUGAUCAGCGAAACGGGGGCUGAGACGCGGCCAAGACGCCUACGGAGGCAGCAGUGGGGAACAGUGCACAAUAGGCGCGAACCUGAGGCAGCCAUGCCGAGUGUAUUAAGGAGGCCUUAGGGGUGGAAAGUACUUUCAGCGGGGAGGCGUUACACGCAGAAGAAGCACCGGCUAACUCCGUGCCAGCAGCCGCGGUAAUAC
rnacentral:rRNA from 1 species